UACGUAGGGUGCGAGCGUUGCUCGGAAUCAUUGGGCGUAAAGCGCACGUAGGCGGUCCAGCAAGUCGGGUGUGAAAGCCCUCGGCUCAACCGGGGAAGUGCAUUCGAAACUGCUGAACUUGAGUAUGGAAGAGGGUCGCGGAAUUCCCGGUGUAGGGGUGAAAUUCGUAGAUAUCGGGAGGAACACCAGUGGCGAAGGCGGCGACCUGGGCCAAUACUGACGCUGAGGUGCGAAAGCGUGGGGAGCAAACAGG
rnacentral:rRNA from 1 species